UACGUAGGGUGCAAGCGUUAAUCGGAAUUACUGGCGUAAAGGCGUGCGCAGGCGGUUUUGUAAGUCUGUCGUGAAAUCCCCGGGCUCAACCUGGGAAUUGCGAUGGAGACUGCAAGGCUAGAAUCUGGCAGAGGGGGUAGAAUUCCAACGUGUGAGCAGUGAAAUGCGUAGAGAUGUGGAGGAACACCGAUGGCGAAGGCAGCCCCUGGGUCAAGAUUGACGCUCAUGCACGAAAGCGUGGGAGCAAC
rnacentral:rRNA from 1 species